UAGCUCUGCUGGUAGAGCAUGAGACUCAUAAUCCCAGGGUAGUGGGUUUGUGUCCCAC
rnacentral:tRNA from 1 species